rnacentral:lncRNA from 1 species
UGACACUGAGUAGUCUGACAGAAGGAGCAGGAGGAAAGACACAGAAAUGACAAGACUGGAAUUCAGCGGCACAUCAGCAUCUGACUCGUGGGUACAGGGACAUCCCAAACAGCUGUGGGCUGAGCCCUCUUGAUUUUUUCCUGUUGCAAAUCCCUCAUCCAACUAUUUUUCAGCACCAAGACUCAAAGCUCUAGCCAGACAAGACAGCCGGAAGACAGAGAUUUCCAGCACAAGCUCCCCUGACUGAUGUGUGCGCUCCAUAUGCUGCCCUGACCUCAGGGCAGAAAGCUCACAAAGUGACUCUGAACAGUCAGAGGGUCCGCACAGAACUCCGACUUUCCUGCCCCAUUUGCUGUGUGACCUGUGCUAGAACAUGUCACCUCUCUAUUCUCUCAAAAGGGGGAAUGAUACCAGUUGCUUCCCAAAGAUCUUUUUAGGCUUCCCCUGAGUACUCCACCGCACCAGUGAGAGCCUCUACAGACUGGCCACAUGAUGGAAUGAAGAAAUAAAAAAGAUUCA